ACCGGCGCACGGGUGAGUAACACGUAUGCAACCUGCCUGCCACAGCCGGAUAAUCGGGAGAAAUUCCGUCUAAUACGGCAUAAUGCAUCGACGGGACAUCCUGUUGGUGCCAAAGGUUAAUUCCGGUGGCGGAUGGGCAUGCGUCGCAUUAGUUAGUUGGCGGUGUAACGGACCACCAAGACGACGAUGCGUAGGGGUUCUGAGAGGAAGGUCCCCCACACUGGUACUGAGACACGGACCAGACUCCUACGGGAGGCAGCAGUGAGGAAUAUUGGUCAAUGGGCGGGAGCCUGAACCAGCCAAGUCGCGUGAGGGAUGACGGCCCUAUGGGUUGUAAACCUCUUUUGCCGGGGAGCAAAGUGCCGCACGUGUGCGGUUUGGAGAGUACCCGGAGAAAAAGCAUCGGCUAACUCCGUGCCAGCAGCCGCGGUAAUACGGAGGAUGCGAGCGUUAUCCGGAUUUAUUGGGUUUAAAGGGUGCGUAGGCGGACGCUUAAGUCAGCGGUAAAAUUGCGGGGCUCAACCUCGUCGAGCCGUUGAAACUGGGUGCCUUGAGUGGGCGAGAAGUACGCGGAAUGCGUGGUGUAGCGGUGAAAUGCAUAGAUAUCACGCAAAACUCCGAUUGCGAAGGCAGCGUACCGGCGCCCAACUGACGCUNAAGCACGAAGGCGUGGGUAUCGAACAGGAUAAGAUACCCUGGUA
rnacentral:rRNA from 1 species